GUUUGGUUCGGUUUAUAUAUUUAAAAUUUUUCGGUUUUCGGUUCGGUUCGGUUUAAACAUGUUAAAUAACCGAUCAAACCGAAAAACCGAAAAACCGGUUUAAACAUGUUAACCCAACCCAGCCAGGCAGCAGCCCAACCCCAUCAAUCGAUUUCGCUGAACCCUUCAUUCAUCCCGUUCUCUACAUUCUGCAAUCUCCUCUCCCGAACCCGAUUCCCCCCGAACCCCUAUUCUCUCUCUCGAAUCCCGAUUCCUCCCCCUGGCCUCUCUUUCUCUUUCACGUCGAUCGUCAAUCUUUUUCUCGUCGACCUCCGACCGCCGACCGUCGACCAUCAACCUCUUUCCCGUCGAUUUGGUGAGUUUCGCCGCCGACCGUGGACUGAUUUGAAGGAUGCAUAGCAAACUUCUCAGGGAAUUGUUAGGUGAACCUGCCUCAGACUGAAGGUUAUAAAUUGGGGAAAAAAAAUUUCCAGUUUAACAUUUACUCUUGAACUAUUCAUGUAACUGCUAAUCAAGGGGCAUGAAUUAUGAGAGGGGUCCAUAAAAAUUUGUCAUUAUGUUUCUUUUCAAGUAAGUUAACCACAUUAGGCUUUCAAUUUUUAAUGCUGUAAUUUUGCUGAGUUUCAGUAUCAACUUCUGAAAGCUUCGCUGAAUGAAAGUGAUGCAUUUGCAUUUUUUAAGGCUGAUGAGCCUGGUGAUUAUAUAACAUAUCCGGCUUUCUGUGAAGGACUACGCCUGGCUGCCAGAAUGCAAAGCGUCAAAUGGUGCUGUGAGCUAAAGUGGAAGGAUAGACUUAUCAUGUUGUAAUUUGAUGCAGGAAAAGGAGCCAGGAUAUUGAAUGUGGUACAAGAAAUGCAGGGCUCCUGUGUAAUUGGACAUGCUUGUGUAAUUAAAUUUCUUGCAUCUUUAUUCAUGUAACUUAUGUGAUGCUGUCCUUGUAAGUGAAAUGCUAUAAUGUUUGCACAUCAGUCAUAAUUUGAAGGUAGACUUGCUGAGCAUUUGUUGUGAGAAAGAGAAAUCAAAUCCACUUGCACUUGCACAUUACUCA